GUAUUUAAACUUCAAGUUUUUAUUUAAAUUCCAGUUAGUUAACUUAUAGUGUAAUAUUAGUUUCAGGAGUAGAAUUUAGUGAUUCAUCACUUACAUAUAACACUCAGUGCUCAUCCCAACAAAUUCUCUCCUUAAUGCCCAUCACCCA